GCCAUGAGGACUCCAGAACUAAAAAGUCAGGACUGGGAUCAUGAGCCAUUGAAUGCUGGCCCACCUCAGCUAACCCUUAAAAGCUGGGCUCCUGCUUUUGUGAGUGAAGUCUGCCAGCCUUCAUCAAAGUGCACCCUCUUCAGCUGCUCAAGAAGGCAAACAGAAGCCUAGAGGCCGAUUUGCUCUACUAGCACUAGAUACACUGAAAAUACGCUCUCUGGUGAAGACGCGGCAGACAUGGAUUCCAUGACGGCUGCACUAGGAAGGAGAAUAUACUUUGCCUUUCAUGCGAGUCACAGAGAGAACACAGCCAGUCUUUCUCUAGACACCAAAUGGAUUCUCGCAGAGGUAAUGACUCAAAGCAGCUGGAGAAAGCAGAAUGCCUUUAGGUAUUAGAAUCUCUUUUACCUCUCUUACAAAUGUAGAUGCAAGACCUAGAAGCUUUUCAUUCAAACAUUCAGCAACUGAUUUGUUGUCACUUUCUUAUCUUAUAGCUUUUCCAUAAACUCAUCCUAAUUGAUCCCUACAGAAAAAAAUACGCAAUGCAGCCAGUUUCAUUCUCUUUAAUGUUUUAUAUUGUGAAAACUCUCGAGUUGUUAGAGAACUAG
rnacentral:lncRNA from 1 species